UACAGAGGUCUCAAGCGUUGUUCGGAUUCAUUGGGCGUAAAGGGUGCGUAGGCGGCGCGGUAAGUCGGAUGUGAAAUCUCGGGGCUUAACUCCGAAACUGCAUUCGAUGCUGCCGUGCUUGAGGACUGGAGAGGAGACUGGAAUUUACGGUGUAGCGGUGAAAUGCGUAGAUAUCGUAAGGAAGACCAGUGGCGAAGGCGGGUCUCUGGACAGUUCCUGACGCUGAGGCACGAAGGCCAGGGGAGCAAACGGG
rnacentral:rRNA from 1 species